rnacentral:hammerhead_ribozyme from 1 species
AUCCAGCUGAUGAGUCCCAAAUGAGACGAAACGCGCAUCCUGAAU